AAUGAAGAUACAAUGAUGAUUCCCCCCAGUUCUAUGCCAAAUGGUUCUAAAGCUGUUUAUUCAGAUGACUGUAUACUAAGGAAAGAGAAUAAAUACCACACAUUAGGAAGACUUAAUAGUGUCUGAGUUGAUAACAAUACCCAGAGAAACAGAUGUCAUCAUGGGCUUCCCUGUUUGAGUGGAGGCUUAUGGAGGCCAAAAACUAGAGAAUAACUACAAACACCAGGUUCAACCGAGUAGGAAUUCCCUACAUCUACUGAGGGAUGCGGUAUCAUUACUAGAGAAGAUUAAUAAAGCCUCAGGUUCCUGGCAUGAGACCUUUUAUCUGAUAACCCAAGCAGUUAGUAGGGGAGACGUGGAGACUAUUUACAGGAAAACUAGUUGCAAGGCAGCUCCGAUCAUGCAGAAUUGGCAUUCAAGCUGGAGCUCAAUCAAGGGCAGCAAAAGCACAGAAUGCACAUCACAUGAGCUCUAUACCGGAGGGAGCCCAGGCUGGCUGACACAUCGGCUUCAAACCCACAGGAUUCCCUUUGAAGAAAUCCGUCCUGGGAUGCAAGAAGAGUGGUUUAAGUCAGGAGUUGCACCCUCCAAAUCCUACAAGGACCGGGCAAACAGCAUAGUUGGAGACAAAUUCAAAGAAAUACUUUCCUAUUGUAAGAAAAAUGAUCACACAAAUGCCAUUGGCAAGUGGCAUUCUGCCUCACUGUGAUGGUAGUUCUAUGCUAACUGAAAAGCAUGUGUCUCAGAGAAGUCACUUCCCAGAUCCAACAACAUUGCAUAUGGCGACGUGGGGCCAAUGAUACCACAUCUGUCCAUUUCGAAGAACAUUGUAGAUUCUGGAAAUUUAUAUGAAACUUUUUUUUUGUUUAUAUAUCUUCUAUAUAGGACUGUAUGUUUUGAAAUACUGAGAGCCAAAUGAAAUAAA